AUUAGGAAUCUUGCGCAAUGGACGAAAGUCUGACGCAGCGACGCCGCGUGAGGGAUGACGGCCUUCGGGUUGUAAACCUCUUUUAUCAGGGAAGAAGAAUGUGACGGUACCUGAUGAAUAAGCCCCGGCUAACUACGUGCCAGCAGCCGCGGUAAUACGUAGGGGGCGAGCGUUGUCCGAAGUUACUGGGCGUAAAGCGCACGUAGGCGGUUAUCUAAGUCUGGGGUGAAAGGUUCAGUGCUUAACGCGAACAGUGCCUUGGAGACUGGAUGACUUGAGUUUGGGAGAGGGUAGUGGAAUGGCUGGUGUAGCGGUGAAAUGCGUAGAUAUCAGUCGGAACACCAAUGGCGAAGGCAGCUACCUGGCCUAAAACUGACGCUGAGGUGCGAAAGCGUGGGGAGCGAACGG
rnacentral:rRNA from 1 species